AGAGUUUGAUCAUGGCUCAGGAUGAACGCUAGCGGCAGGCCUAACACAUGCAAGUCGAGGGGCAUCGGGAUUUAAGCUUGCUUCAAUUGCCGGCGACCGGCGCACGGGUGCGUAACGCGUAUGUAACCUACCUAUAACAGGGGCGAUAACACUGAGAAAUUGGUACUAAUUCCCCACUAAUAUUCGGAGAGGCAUCUCUCCGGGUUGAAAACUCCGGUGGUUAUAGAUGGACAUGCGUUGUAUUAGCUAGUUGG
rnacentral:rRNA from 1 species